rnacentral:rRNA from 1 species
UACGUAGGGGGCGAGCGUUGUCCGGAUUUAUUGGGCGUAAAGAGCUCGUAGGCGGUUUGGUAAGUUGGAUGUGAAAUCUCCAGGCUCAACUUGGAGGGGUCAUUCGAUACUGCCAUGACUAGAGUUCGGUAGGGGAGUGUGGAAUUCCGGGUGUAGCGGUGGAAUGCGUAGAGAUCCGGAAGAACACCGGUGGCGAAGGCGGCCUGCUGGGCAGUUUGGCUGACACUGAGGCGCGACAGCGUGGGGAGCAAACAGG